rnacentral:lncRNA from 1 species
UGGAGACGCGACUGCAGUUACCGAGUUUCUAAGGCCUCGUCCCCUGACGGGAAGGCGGCGUUGGGGGGCGGCUGGGUUUACCCUUCGAGGAGUUAGAAAACACCAGGAAAAGGGUUGUUCCCACCUGGAAGAGAAAUGCUAGAGCAACACACCAUCUUCCUCAACAUUAUCAUCUGUCUCUGGAUGACAAUGAAAUUCACAGGACACUGAUUGUCUUUUUAUCCCAUUGGACAUCGUGAUAGUCUACAAUACUGAUAACACCAUGAUGAUAGGAUCUGAAGACCUGGAAGUACCAGAGGCAGGGUUUCACCAUGUUGCCCAGGCUGGUCUCGAACUGGACGCAAGCAAUCCUCCUGCCUUGACCUGCCAAAGAGCUGGGAUUACUGGCAUCAGCAGGAAGAAGAGAUGGAAGCAACGCCAUGGACCUUCACGUCCUUCAGAGUGUGGGUGGGCUUGGGCUUUGCAGUGAGAGCAAGUAUCACCCAGGAUGGAGAUGGGAGGUAAUGGGUGGCCCCGACAGGUGCCUCCUACUGCUGGCAGCAAGGAGAGAGUGAAGAGGCAGAAUUUCCUUGGUCUAGACUAGAGUCUGGGUCAUGGGCAUGGCAGUGCUUGAGCUUUUGACCAGAAGCAAGUGGACAUGGAUUUGAGCUUCGGGUAAGAAGGGAGACUUCUCUCCAGGGACCAUAGGGGCUGGCAGCUGAAGAAGGUGACUUGGCCCCUCUCUAGAGGGUGAACGCAGGAUCAAUUCAAGGCCAUGAAGUGGAUGCAGCUGGGAGAGCC